AAUGAACGCUGGCGGCAGGCUUAACACAUGCAAGUCGAGCGCCCCGCAAGGGGAGCGGCAGACGGGUGAGUAACGCGUGGGAAUCUACGCCCUUCUCUACGGAAUAGCCUCGGGAAACUGGGAGUAAUACCGUAUACGCCCUACGGGGGAAAGAUUUAUCGGAGAAGGAUUAGCCCGCGUUGGAUUAGGUAGUUGGUGGGGUAAUGGCCUACCAAGCCUACGAUCCAUAGCUGGUUUGAGAGGAUGAUCAGCCACACUGGGACUGAGACACGGCCCAGACUCCUACGGGAGGCAGCAGUGGGGAAUCUUAGACAAUGGGGGAAACCCUGAUCUAGCCAUGCCGCGUGAGUGAUGAAGGCCUUAGGGUUGUAAAGCUCUUUCAGCUGGGAAGAUAAUGACGGUACCAGCAGAAGAAGCCCCGGCUAACUCCGUGCCAGCCGCCGCAGUAACAC
rnacentral:rRNA from 1 species